rnacentral:rRNA from 1 species
UGGCGGACGGGUGAGUAAUGUCUGGGGAUCUGCCCGAUAGAGGGGGAUAACCACUGGAAACGGUGGCUAAUACCGCAUAACGUCGCAAGACCAAAGAGGGGGACCUUCGGGCCUCUCACUAUCGGAUGAACCCAGAUGGGAUUAGCUAGUAGGCGGGGUAACGGCCCACCUAGGCGACGAUCCCUAGCUGGUCUGAGAGGAUGACCAGCCACACUGGAACUGAGACACGGUCCAGACUCCUACGGGAGGCAGCAGUGGGGAAUAUUGCACAAUGGGCGCAAGCCUGAUGCAGCCAUGCCGCGUGUAUGAAGAAGGCCUUCGGGUUGUAAAGUACUUUCAGCGGGGAGGAAGGCAGUGAGGUUAAUAACCUUACUGAUUGACGUUACCCGCAGAAGAAGCACCGGCUAACUCCGUGCCAGCAGCCGCGGUAAUACGGAGGGUGCAAGCGUUAAUCGGAAUUACUGGGCGUAAAGCGCACGCAGGCGGUCUGUUAAGUCAGAUGUGAAAUCCCCGGGCUUAACCUGGGAACUGCAUUUGAAACUGGCAGGCUUGAGUCUCGUAGAGGGGGGUAGAAUUCCAGGUGUAGCGGUGAAAUGCGUAGAGAUCUGGAGGAAUACCGGUGGCGAAGGCGGCCCCCUGGACGAAGACUGACGCUCAGGUGCGAA